rnacentral:rRNA from 1 species
UGGGGAAUUUUCCGCAAUGGGCGCAAGCCUGACGGAGCAAUACCGCGUGAGGGAGGAAGGCUUUUGGGUUGUAAACCUCUUUUCUCUAGGAAGAAGGUCUGGCGGUACUAGAGGAAUCAGCAUCGGCUAACUCCGUGCCAGCAGCCGCGGUAAGACGGAGGAUGCAAGCGUUAUCCGGAAUUAUUGGGCGUAAAGCGUCCGUAGGCGGUUAUUUAAGUCUGCUGUCAAAGACCACAGCUCAACUGUGGGCGGGCGGUGGAAACUGGGUAACUAGAGUUCGGUAGGGGUAGAGGGAAUUCCCAGUGUAGCGGUGAAAUGCGUAGAUAUUGGGAAGAACACCAGUGGCGAAGGCGCUCUACUGGGCCGAGACUGACGCUGAUGGACGAAAGCUAGGGGAGCGAAAGGGAUUAGAUACCCGUGUAGUCC